GACGAACGCUGGCGGCGUGCUUAACACAUGCAAGUCGAACGGAAAGGCCCUGCUUUUGUGGGGUGCUCGAGUGGCGAACGGGUGAGUAACACGUGAGUAACCUGCCCUUGACUUUGGGAUAACUUCAGGAAACUGGGGCUAAUACCGGAUAGGAGCUCCUGCUGCAUGGUGGGGGUUGGAAAGUUUCGGCGGUUGGGGAUGGACUCGCGGCUUAUCAGCUUGUUGGUGGGGUAGUGGCUUACCAAGGCUUUGACGGGUAGCCGGCCUGAGAGGGUGACCGGCCACAUUGGGACUGAGGUACGGCCCAGACUCCUACGGGAGGCAGCAGUGGGAAUAUUGCACAAUGGGCGGAAGCCUGAUGCAGCAACGCCGCGUGCGGGAUGACGGCCUUCGGGUUGUAAACCGCUUUCGCCUGUGACGAAGCGUGAGUGACGGUAAUGGGUAAAGAAGCACCGGCUAACUACGUG
rnacentral:rRNA from 1 species